GGAUGAGCCCGCGGCCUAUCAGCUUGUUGGUGAGGUAACGGCUCACCAAGGCGACGACGGGUAGCCGGCCUGAGAGGGCGACCGGCCACACUGGGACUGAGACACGGCCCAGACUCCUACGGGAGGCAGCAGUGGGGAAUAUUGCGCAAUGGGCGAAAGCCUGAUGCAGCGACGCCGCGUGAGGGAUGACGGCCUUCGGGUUGUAAACCUCUUUCAGCAGGGAAGAAGCGAAAGUGACGGUACCUGCAGAAGAAGCGCCGGCUAACUACGUGCCAGCAGCCGCGGUAAUACGUAGGGCGCGAGCGUUGUCCGGAAUUAUUGGGCGUAAAGAGCUCGUAGGCGGUCUGUCGCGUCGGAUGUGAAAGCCCGGGGCUUAACCCCGGGUCUGCAUUCGAUACGGGCAGACUAGAGUGUGGUAGGGGAGGUCGGAAUUCCUGGUGUAGCGGUGAAAUGCGCAGAUAUCAGGAGGAACACCGGUGGCGAAGGCGGAUCUCUGGGCCAUUACUGACGCUGAGGAGCGAAAGCGUGGGGAGCGAACAGGAUUAGAUACCCUGGUAGUCCACGCCGUAAACGGUGGGAACUAGGUGUUGGCGACAUUCCACGUCGUCGGUGCCGCAGCUAACGCAUUAAGUUCCCCGC
rnacentral:rRNA from 1 species